rnacentral:rRNA from 1 species
GAGACUGGGAUAACACCUGGAAACAGAUGCUAAUACCGGAUAACAACACUAGACGCAUGUCUAGAGUUUAAAAGAUGGUUCUGCUAUCACUCUUGGAUGGACCUGCGGUGCAUUAGCUAGUUGGUAAGGUAACGGCUUACCAAGGCAAUGAUGCAUAGCCGAGUUGAGAGACUGAUCGGCCACAUUGGGACUGAGACACGGCCCAAACUCCUACGGGAGGCAGCAGUAGGGAAUCUUCCACAAUGGACGCAAGUCUGAUGGAGCAACGCCGCGUGAGUGAAGAAGGGUUUCGGCUCGUAAAGCUCUGUUGGUAGUGAAGAAAGAUAGAGGUAGUAACUGGCCUUUAUUUGACGGUAAUUACCUAGAAAGUCACGGCUAACUACGUGCCAGCAGCCGCGGUAAUACGUAGGUGGCAAGCGUUGUCCGGAUUUAUUGGGCGUAAAGCGAGUGCAGGCGGUUCAAUAAGUCUGAUGUGAAAGCCUUCGGCUCAACCGGAGAAUUGCAUCAGAAACUGUUGAACUUGAGUGCAGAAGAGGAGAGUGGAACUCCAUGUGUAGCGGUGGAAUGCGUAGAUAUAUGGAAGAACACCAGUGGCGAAGGCGGCUCUCUGGUCUGCAACUGACGCUGAGGCUCGAAAGCAUGGGUAGCGAACAGGAUUAGAUACCCUGGUAGUCCAUGCCGUAAACGAUGAGUGCUAAGUGUUGGGAGGUUUCCGCCUCUCGGUGCUGCAG